AGAGAGAGCCGACCUGCAGACAGGAGGUUAUCUGAAAGCAAAAUCAACCUUGCCGACUAACUCACUGAGAUCAAGGGCUGCUGCUUCUGAGACGGCUGAGUCACACAGCCCAUUAUACUCAGGUCAUUAACAGAGAACUGGAUCAGCAGUGGAGUAGCCAGGACACGAACCUGUGGCCACAUGGGAUGCUGACAUGGCAGGGUUCACUGAUGCGCAUCCAAGCCUGCCGCACACUCCUGAGCAUGCACAUGGCGGCAUGCAUUCCAAUGAGGUCCUCCCUAGUUUUGAACAAGAUGGAAGGAUGCUACCCUCAGGUCCUCUACGGAUGAUCCCAAAGACCUGACUCAUGUAUAUGGUAAAGGAAGAAAACCACCUGCUCCUUAAUCAGGCUAAACUUAAUGUGCUCGUGUUGCUCCUU